AGUGAGGCUUCCGCUAGGAAUGUGUGGACGGAGUCUGGCUGGCUUUCCUUUAGAAUUCAAGCCUGAGAUGUGUGGGGAAUGGAGCAAAUGUAACUGUCCUUCUACCAUUUGAAACCUGAGAUUGGAGUCAAAACUAAGGAAUUGCAGCAGAAAGGAAGAAAUUGGGUCCUCUGGUGACUAUUGAGUCAUGAAUCAAAAUAUGCCUAAAGUGAGAACCCACAACCUUUCCACUCACGUGAGCCAGGAAAUUCUGUUUGGGAUGAGUUUUCUAGUAUUUGCAGCAGAAGAAUCCCUACCUGAUGCAGAAAUGACCCACAUUUUCCAGCUGAGGCAAAUAGAGGCCUCAGGAGAUUAGCUAACUUGCCCAAGUUCACACAAAUAACUAAGACAAAAUUUGAAGCCACUUUGUUUCACCUUGAAAAGCUGGUGAGGAAGACAAACUGGAUUUUUAACUGACUGCAAUAUGACAAACAUAUGUGAAAAAAGAAAGACACAAUAGGAAAAUGGAGUGAAAGAAGGGCAGAGAGUGAAGGACAGUGUAAUUGAGGUACAAGUUUCAAUGACAUCUGAAGAUUAUGAAAAUCUGGGGUUUUCCUGGUGCCCCAUCUCUCCCAGUGACUCAGUAAGAUAGGAAAUGAAGGCUAACUCUGAUUACCUAGUUGACUAUUUUAAACUCCAGCCAUUUAUAGAGCACUAAUUAGAAAUCAUUUCAAGCAAAACAUCUGUUCAUUGAUUUGCUGAAACAUCAAUAUUGGCUGUCUAUGAGAAUAAUUUGCAUUUCAUUGCUAAGGAAAAAACAUUAGUACCUGGAAACCAAAGAAAGCAAAUCUAGACCCACGAAGAUCCUCAGUUUUUUUCAGAAGGCAAACCACCAUGAAUUAUUCUAAUUAUUUGACCUUUUCACUCCAGAAUAAUCCAAAGCGAGCACCUGCAAAGGGAGUGGGGUGAAGUAUCGAGUUCAUAGAAGCCCUCAACAGAAAUUCCUCUUUUUCCCUGAAGAAAGCUGCCUCACUGAAGGACACUCCACCUUCCCAAGGGCAGCCUACAAUGCCUUGUGAGAGCAAAGGAAGCCAGUCACAAGAGACAGACAAUGCUAAUCUGGCUUGAACAUUGCCGAACACCAGGCGCUGUGCUAAGUACUUGAGAGCUGUUAAUCCACUGAAACCUCACAACACCCCCAGAGUCUGGC
rnacentral:lncRNA from 1 species